rnacentral:tRNA from 1 species
GCGGAUGUAGCUCAACUGGGAGAGCGCCGGAUUUUGUCCGGAGGUUGUGGGUUCGAGUCCCGUCGUCUGCACCA